rfam:Firmicutes bacterium CAG:124 genomic scaffold, scf39
UGUCCAAGGCUAGUAUUACCCUUGGACACUUCUGUAUCAUGUAACA